CUGUCACCGUCGCCGACUGCAACGCAAUCCGCUUGACAGGAGCGGGGGACCCAAUUCUGGGGCAACGGAACAUGGUUGCUCCUUGGGGUUAAGUCAGUUCCGACUGGCCGGGCAGAACCUCCGCCCGAACCCGACAGCUCACCCCGCAGGCAUCGAGAGGUUCA
rnacentral:sRNA from 2 species